rnacentral:lncRNA from 1 species
GUGGCAUUACUUGGAGGUCUGGCCAUGUUGGAUUCGGUGUGUCACUGUGGGUGUGGGCAAUGAGACCCUCACCCUAGCUGCCUGGGAGUGAGUAUUCUGCUGGCAGCCUUCAGAUGAAGAUGUAGAACUCUCAGCUCCUCCUGCACCAUGCCUGCCUGGAUGCUGCCAUGCUCCUGCCUUGAUGAUAAUGGACUGAACCUCUGAACCUGUAAGCCAGCCCCAAUUAAAUGUUGUCCUUAUAAGAGUUGCCUUGGUCAUGGUGUCUGUUCACAGCAGUAAAACCCUAACUAAGACAUAUAGACACAGGCAAAAUAUUU